rnacentral:rRNA from 1 species
UAGGGAAUAUUGGACAAUGGGUGAGAGCCUGAUCCAGCCAUGCCGCGUGCAGGAAGAAGGCGUUAUGCGUUGUAAACUGCUUUUUGCCAGGGGAUAAAAAGACCGUGCGCGGUUAAUUGAAGGUACCUGGUGAAUAAGCCACGGCUAACUACGUGCCAGCAGCCGCGGUAAUACGUAGGUGGCAAGCGUUGUCCGGAUUUAUUGGGUUUAAAGGGUGCGUAGGUGGCCCUGUAAGUCAGUGGUGAAAUAUCUCAGCUUAACUGAGAGGGUGCCAUUGAUACUGCAGGGCUUGAGUACAGAUGAGGUAGGCGGAAUUGACGGUGUAGCGGUGAAAUGCAUAGAUAUCGUCAAGAACACCGAUAGCGAAGGCAGCUUACCAAGCUGUAACUGACGCUGAGGAACGAAAGCCAGGGGAGCGAAUGGGAUUAGAUACCCUUGUAGUCCCUGAGCGGGCUGGCAAGGCGCAU